rnacentral:rRNA from 1 species
AUACGGAGGGGGCAAGCGUUAUCGGGAAUCAUUGGGUUUAAAGGGUCCGUAGGCGGGCUAAUAAGUCAGGGGGGAAAUCCCACAGCUUAACUGUGGAACUGCCCUUGAUACUGUUGGUCUUGAGUUACAGUGAAGUGGUUAGAAUGUGUAGUGUAGCAGUGAAAUGCAUAGAGAUUACACAGAAUACCGAUUGCGAAGGCAGAUCACUAACUGUAUACUGACUCUAAUGGACGAAAGCGUGGGGAGCGAACAGGAUUAGAAACCCUAGUAGUCC